rnacentral:rRNA from 1 species
GACAGAGGGUGCAAACGUUGCUCGGAAUCACUGGGCGUAAAGCGCACGUAAGCGGAUUGCUAAGUCAGGGGUGAAAUCCUGGAGCUCAACUCCAGAACUGCCUUUGAUACUGGCGAUCUCGAGUCCGGGAGAGGUGAGUGGAACUGCGAGUGUAGAGGUGAAAUUCGUAGAUAUUCGCAAGAACACCAGUGGCGAAGGCGGCUCACUGGCCCGGUACUGACGCUGAGGUGCGAAAGCGUGGGGAGCAAACAGG